AGUGAACCGGGAAGAGCUCAAAUUUGAAAUCUGGCGUCCUUCGGGCGUCCGAGUUGUAAUCUAUAGAAACGUUUUCCGUGCCGGACCGUGUCCAAGUCCCUUGGAACAGGGUAUCAAAGAGGGUGACAAUCCCGUACUUGACACGACGACCGGUGCUCUGUGAUACGUUCUCUACGAGUCGAGUUGUUUGGGAAUGCAGCUCAAAAAGGGUGGUAAACUCCAUCUAAAGCUAAAUAUUGGUGGGAGACCGAUAGCGAACAAGUACCGUGAGGGAAAGAUGAAAAGCACUUUGGAAAGAGAGUUAAACAGUAUGUGAAAUUGUUGAAAGGGAAACGAUUGAAGUCAGUCGUGUCCAUUGGAUUCAGCCGGUUCUGCCGGUCUACUUCCUUUGGACGGGUCAACAUCGGUUCUGUUCGGUGGAUAAGGGCGGGAGGAAUGUGGCACCCCCCGGGGUGUGUUAUAGCCUCCUGUCGCAUACACUGGAUGGGACCGAGGAAUGCAGCUCGCCUUUAUGGCCGGGGUUCGCCCACGUUCGAGCUUAGGAUGUUGACAUAAUGGCUUUAAACGACCCGUCUUGA
rnacentral:rRNA from 2 species